rnacentral:rRNA from 1 species
GGUGCUUGCACUGGUCUAAGGAGUUGCGAACGGGUGAGUAACGCGUAGGUAACCUACCUCAUAGCGGGGGAUAACUAUUGGAAACGAUAGCUAAUACCGCAUGACAAUAGGGUACACAUGUACCCUAUUUAAAAGGGGCAAAUGCUUCACUAUGAGAUGGACCUGCGUUGUAUUAGCUAGUUGGUAAGGUAACGGCUUACCAAGGCGACGAUACAUAGCCGACCUGAGAGGGUGAUCGGCCACACUGGGACUGAGACACGGCCCAGACUCCUACGGGAGGCAGCAGUAGGGAAUCUUCGGCAAUGGGGGGAACCCUGACCGAGCAACGCCGCGUGAGUGAAGAAGGUUUUCGGAUCGUAAAGCUCUGUUGUUAGAGAAGAACGGUAAUGGGAGUGGAAAAUCCAUUACGUGACGGUAACUAACCAGAAAGGGACGGCUAACUACGUGCCAGCAGCCGCGGUAAUACGUAGGUCCCGAGCGUUGUCCGGAUUUAUUGGGCGUAAAGCGAGCGCAGGCGGUUUGAUAAGUCUGAAGUUAAAGGCUGUGGCUUAACCAUAGUUCGCUUUGGAAACUGUCAAACUUGAGUGCAGAAGGGGAGAGUGGAAUUCCAUGUGUAGCGGUGAAAUGCGUAGAUAUAUGGAGGAACACCGGUGGCGAAAGCGGCUCUCUGGUCUGUAACUGACGCUGAGGCUCGAAAGCGUGGGGAGCAAACAGGAUUAGAUACCCUGGUAGUCCACGCCGUAAACGAUGAGUGCUAGGUGUUAGGCCCUUUCCGGGGCUUAGUGCCGUAGCUAACGCAUUAAGCACUCCGCCUGGGGAGUACGACCGCAAGGUUGAAACUCAAAGGAAUUGACGGGGGCCCGCACNAGCGG